AUCGCUUCUCGGCCUUUUGGCUAAGAUCAAGUGUAGUAUCUGUUCUUAUCAGUUUAAUAUCUGAUACGGGGCCACUGGCCCCGAGUCAAUAUUAAAUUUAUUUUUGUGCUCUUGGAAGUCGUAGGGGUAGCUUGCUACCUUGGACUUCCGCCGGUUGGCCCCGUCCUGCACACCUUGUCGGGGGAAUCAUCGGCCGGCU